rnacentral:rRNA from 1 species
CGUAAGGCGCCGAAUGAGUCAUUAAAAAAUUAACAUCAUCCGAUCCCUAGUCGGCAUAGUUUAUGGUUAAGACUACGACGGUAUCUGAUCGUCUUCGAUCCCCUAACUUUCGUUCUUGAUUAAUGAAAACAUCCUUGGCAAAUGCUUUUCGCAGUAGUUAGUCUUCAAUAAAUCCAAGAAUUUCACCUCUGACAAUUGAAUACUAAUGCCCCCAACUAUCCCUAUUAAUCAUUACGUCAAUCCUAGAAACCAACAAAAUAGGAUCGAUCGUCCUAUUUCAUUAUUCCAUGCUAAUGUAUUCAAGCG